GACGAACGCUGGCGGCGUGCUUAACACAUGCAAGUCGAACGGAAAGGCCCUGCUUUUGUGUGGUGCUCGAGUGGCGAACGGGUGAGUAACACGUGAGUAACCUGCCCUUGACUUUGGGAUAACUUCAGGAAACUGGGGCUAAUACCGGAUAGGAGCUCCUGCUGCAUGGUGGGGGUUGGAAAGUUUCGGCUGUUGGGGAUGGACUCGCGGCUUAUCAGCUUGUUGGUGGGGUAGUGGCUUACCAAGGCUUUGACGGGUAGCCGGCCUGAGAGGGUGACCGGCCACAUUGGGACUGAGAUACGGCCCAGACUCCUACGGGAGGCAGCAGUGGGGAAUCUUGCACAAUGGGCGGAAGCCUGAUGCAGCAACGCCGCGUGCGGGAUGACGGCCUUCGGGUUGUAAACCGCUUUAGCCUGUGACGAAGCGUGAGUGACGGUAAUGGGUAAAGAAGCACCGGCUAACUACGUG
rnacentral:rRNA from 1 species